CGUAGGUAACCGGCCUGGUAGCGGGGGAUAACUAUUGGAAACGAUAGCUAAUACCGCAUAAGAGUAGAUGUUGCAUGACAUUUGCUUAAAAGGUGCAAUUGCAUCACUACCAGAUGGACCUGCGUUGUAUUAGCUAGUUGGUGGGGUAACGGCUCACCAAGGCGACGAUACAUAGCCGACCUGAGAGGGUGAUCGGCCACACUGGGACUGAGACACGGCCCAG
rnacentral:rRNA from 1 species